rfam:Puccinia graminis f. sp. tritici CRL 75-36-700-3 supercont2.9 genomic scaffold, whole genome shotgun sequence.
GACUGGAUAGCCUAGUGGUAAAAGGCAUCACUCCUAGUAAAGUGACUUAGCUAAUGCUGAGGUCCCAGGUUCGAAUCCUGGUCUAGUCA